rnacentral:rRNA from 1 species
AUGGCUAGCAUCAAUCGUUCUUCCUCUUUUUUGGGUAUUAUGUAUGAUUUGGUUGCAUAUACCAGCAGGAAGAACAUGAAAUAUCUCCAUUAUACCACCUACUUAAAGGAGAGCAUAGAUCUGUUCAUACGUGCAUGUCUAAUUGUCUAUACAAGUACACAACCAUGCAUUAAAGCUCAACAAUGCACGACAAAGACCUGGCCUGUGAGGCCAGUCAAUCAGGAUCCUUUGGCCGCCUCAAAUGAUCUCUUGGGCACCGCAUCUAUGAGUACUAGUACUAGCAGCUAG